rnacentral:rRNA from 1 species
GUCUUUUUGAAAUAAAUUUAAAGUCUAACCUGCCCACUGAAAAUUUUAAAUGGCCGCAGUAUUCUAACUGUGCAAAGGUAGCAUAAUCAUUAGUCUUUUAAUUGAAGGCUGGAAUGAAUGGUUGGACGAAAUAUUAACUGUUUCAUUUAAAUUUUUUAUAGAAUUUUAUUUUUUAGUCAAAAAGCUAAAAUAAAUUUAAAAGACGAGAAGACCCUAUAAAUCUUUAUAUUUUGUUUAUUUUAAUUAUAAAGAUUAUUUUUAUUAUAAUAAAUUAAAAUAUUUUAUUGGGGUGAUAUUAAAAUUUAAAAAACUUUUAAUUUUUAAAACCAUUAAUUUAUGAAUAAUUGAUCCAUUAAUAAUGAUUAAAAAUUUAAGUUACUUUAGGGAUAACAGCGUAAUUUUUUUGGAGAGUUCAUAUCGAUAAAAAAGAUUGCGACCUCGAUGUUGGAUUAAGAUAUAAUUUUGGGUGUAGCCGUUCAAAUUUUAAGUCUGUUCGACUUUUAAAUUCUU